CCUCGCCGACAAUAUAACGGGGCUCAAGCGUAGUACCGAAGUUAUGGAUUUGUUGGCCGCAAGGUCAGCAGAUGGUAGGAGAGCGUUCUUAGCUGCUGUGAAGGUGGACCGUGAGGAUCACUGGAGCGCUAGGAAGUGACUCUGCCAGCAUAAGUAGCGAAAAACCAGGUGAGAACCCUGGUCGCCGUAAGUCUAAGGGUUCCUGAGAAAGGUUAAUCCGCUCAGGGUUAGUCGGAGCCUAAGGUGAGGCCGAGAGGCGUAACCGAUGGACACAUGGUUAACAUUCCAUGACUACCGAAACUCGAUCAAGACCGAUGGGGGGACGCAGACCGCUGAUCCGCUUGCGCAAUGGUUUCAAAAGCGGGUAAAUGGGAGAUCCGGAUUGGCAAAUCCGCCGGGUCGUCUGCCAGGAAAAGCCUCUAAGGAGAGUUAGGUAUCCGUACCACAAACCGACACAGGUGGACAAGAUGAAUAUUCUAAGGCGCUCGGGUGAUGGUUUGUUCAGGAACUAGGCACAUUAGCUCCGUAACUUCGGGAGAAGGAGUGCCCACCUAAGACGUGGGUCGCAGUGAAUAGUCUCAGGCAACUGUUUAACAAAAACACAGGUCUCUGCUAAGUCGAAAACGACGUAUAGGGGCUGACGCCUGCCCGGUGCCGGAAGGUUAAAGGGAGAGGUUAGCGCAAGCGAAGCUUUGAACUGAAGCCCCGGUGAACGGCGGCCGUAACAAUAACGGUCCUAAGGUAGCGAAAUUCCUUGUCGGGUAAGUUCCGACCUGCACGAAUGGCGUAAUGAUCUGAGAACUGUCUUAACAAGCCGCCCGGCGAACUUGUGGUCCCGGUGAAGACGCCGGGUGCCCGCCACUAGACGAAAAGACCCCGUGCACCUUUACUAUACCUUUUCAUUGAACUAUGGGGCCAUCUGCGCAGGAUAGGUGGGAGGCUUUGAGACCGGUUUCUCGGAAUCGGUGGAGCCAACGGUGAGAUACCACCCUGAUGGUUCUGUGGUUCUAACUUACUCCCGUAAUCCGGGAGAGGGACAAUGGAAGGCGGGUAGUUUGACUGGGGCGGUCGCCUCCUAAACGGUAACGGAGGCGCGCGAAGCUUGGUUCAGGCUGUUUGGAAAUCAGCCCUACGAGUGCAAAAGCAUAAACCAGGUUAACUGCGAGACCAACAAGUCGAGCAGAUACGAAAGUAGGCUUUAGUGAUCCGGUGAUUCUGUAUGGAAGGGUCAUCGCUCAACGGAUAAAAGGUACGCCGGGGAUAACAGGCUGAUCGGAGUCAAGAGCCAAAAAAAAUAA
rnacentral:rRNA from 1 species